rnacentral:rRNA from 1 species
UACGGAGGGUGCAAGCGUUACUCGGAAUUAUUGGGCGUAAAGCGCGUGUAGGCGGUUUACUAAGUCUGAUGUGAAAGCCCUGGACUUAAUUCAGGAAGUGCAUUGGAUACUGGUAGACUAGAGUUUGGGAGAGGAGAACGGAAUUCCUGGUGUAGAGGUGAAAUUCGUAGAUAUCAGGAGGAACAACAAAGGCGAAGGCAGUUCUCUGGACCAUAACUGACGCUGAGACGCGAAAGCGUGGGUAGCAAACAGG